rnacentral:rRNA from 1 species
UACGUAGGGGGCAAGCGUUGUCCGGAAUCAUUGGGCGUAAAGCGCGUGUAGGCGGUUCGAUAAGUCUGCUGUGAAAGUCCAGGGCUCAACCCUGGAAAGCCGGUGGAUACUGUCGGACUAGAGUGCGGAAGAGGCGAGUGGAAUUCCCGGUGUAGCGGUGAAAUGCGCAGAUAUCGGGAGGAACACCAAUAGCGAAGGCAGCUCGCUGGGACGUUACUGACGCUGAGGCGCGAAAGCGUGGGGAGCGAACAGG